UACGGGAGGAUCCAAGCGUUAUCCGGAUUUAUUGGGUUUAAAGGGUGCGUAGGCGGUCUGCCACGUCCGCUGUGAAAACCUAGGGCUUAACCCUGGGCUUGCAGUAGAUACGGGCAGACUAGAGGUAGGUAGGGGAGAAUGGAAUUCCCGGUGUAGCGGUGAAAUGCGCAGAUAUCUGGAGGAACACCGGUGGCGAAGGCGGCGUCCUGGACCAACACUGACACUGAUGAGCGAAAGCCAGGGGAGCAAACGGG
rnacentral:rRNA from 1 species